UCCAGGCCCUACGGGAGGCAGCAGUGGGGAAUAUUGCGCAAUGGGCGAAAGCCUGACGCAGCAACGCCGCGUGCGGGAUGAAGGCCUUCGGGUUGCAAACCGCUUUCAGCAGGGAAGAAGCGAAAGUGACGGUACCUGCAGAAGAAGCACCGGCUAACUACGUGCCAGCAGCCGCGGUAAUACGGGAGUGGCAAGCGUUAUCCGGAAUUAUUGGGCGUAAAGCGUCCGCAGGCGGCCCUUCAAGUCUGCUGUUAAAAAGUGGAGCUUAACUCCAUCGUGGCAGUGGAAACUGUUGGGCUAGAGUGUGGUAGGGGCAGAGGGAAUUCCCGGUGUAGCGGUGAAAUGCGUAGAUAUCGGGAAGAACACCAGUGGCGAAGGCGCUCUGCUGGGCCAUAACUGACGCUCAUGGACGAAAGCCAGGGGAGCGAAAGGGAUUAGAUACCCCUGUAGUCCUGGCCGUAAACGAUGAACACUAGGUGUCGGGGGAAUCGACCCCCUCGGUGUCGUAGCCAACGCGUUAAGUGUUCCGCCUGGGGAGUACGCACGCAAGUGUGAAACUCAAAGGAAUUGACGGGGGCCCGCACAAGCGGUGGAGUAUGUGGUUUAAUUCGAUGCAACGCGAAGAACCUUACCAGGGUUUGACAUCCUGCGAAUCUCCUGGAAACGGGAGAGUGCCUUCGGGAACGCAGUGACAGGUGGUGCAUGGCUGUCGUCAGCUCGUGUCGUGAGAUGUUGGGUUAAGUCCCGCAACGAGCGCAACCCACGUCUUUAGUUGCCAGCGUUCAGUUGGGCACUCUAGAGAGACCGCCGGUGAUAAACCGGAGGAAGGUGUGGAUGACGUCAAGUCAUCAUGCCCCUUACAUCCUGGGCUACACACGUACUACAAUGCUACGGACAAAGGGCAGCAAACUCGCGAGAGCUAGCAAAUCCCAUAUACCGUGGCUCAGUUCAGAUCGUAGGCUGCAACUCGCCUACGUGAAGGAGGAAUCGCUAGUAAUCGCAGGUCAGCAUACUGCGGUGAAUACGUUCCCGGGCCUUGCACACACCGCCCGU
rnacentral:rRNA from 1 species